UACCAGCACCCCGAGUGGUCGGGACGUUUAUUGGGCCUAAAGCAUCCGUAGCCGGUUCUACAAGUCUUCCGUUAAAUCCACCUGCUUAACAGAUGGGCUGCGGAAGAUACUAUAGAGCUAGGAGGCGGGAGAGGCAAGCGGUACUCGAUGGGUAGGGGUAAAAUCCGUUGAUCCAUUGAAGACCACCAGUGGCGAAGGCGGCUUGCCAGAACGCGCUCGACGGUGAGGGAUGAAAGCUAGGGGAGCAAAUGGG
rnacentral:rRNA from 1 species